AAAGCAGUAAUGCUAUAGUGCCCAUUCAUUCUCUCCCGUUCAAACACCUAAUAUGGUGGAAGGAAACUUUUUUAGUUAGAAAUGAAAACAGAUGCAUAGAUGCAUCUGUACGCAAAGUUACACGCUUUAUAGUGUAAAGUGAGUAUUAUCAACAAUUGAUUGACAAACCAAAUAUGAGUAUUGCAUGAGCAUCUUAAUAAAUCUUGAAAGUGUGCAAAAAUUCAAUUCUUGAUUUACUCUCUUUCCACUUUAUUUAUUGAUGAUGAAUCCAAAUCUUUUAGAAUUUUGAUACAAUAGUGACUACUAGACUUCAAUGCACUGAAGCUUCAAUUAAAAUAGAUACUAAUUUUACCUUCAUUUCCUCAAUCAACGGCGGGAAUCCCCCAAUAAGUGUCAUGAAAGUUAGGACAGACAUCAGAAAUGAAAGUAGUGAUCCUCUGACCUGAUGCAUGCCACAUACGAGAAAACAAUUACAGCUCAAAUAUAUAAAUCAUUGGGAAUACUGAUCUCUUACUUGAGCCGACCUGAUAGAAGAUGGUGCCUAGGCUUAUAGCUAUUGCAAUAAAGACAACAAGACGUAACCAGUAGUUGCUGAUGUCACGAUACAAUUGCAGGGAAGAUCUUUUUAUAAGAACCAUGCAUUGACUCAGAAAUAGAGCAUGUGUCCUCCUAUUCCUCAUUGCGCCCAAAUCCUAGUACGUACAAUUUCAUAAAACAAAACGUUAAAUCUUACAGUUUAGGUGGGUUCUGUGGUGGAUCACCUUGAUAAGCGUUUAUGGUGGAUCAAUACUUUAAAAUAACUUUGAAACUCUAAUGACUAUCGACAACGCCCAUUGAAAGUAGGAGUUCAUGGUCCCCCAUAUUAUAUUUGUUUUUCUAUAUUUAUCAAACCAACACUGAUCAAGUUUGUGUCUUAGUCGUGUCGACAAGGAGACCAGAACUUUACUUCCAGAAGGAGGUGUUUAUCGUUGAUGGAGUUUCCAACGGUUUUCAGUAGUGAUCAGAAGGAUUGUAGAGAGUUGGACAAGGGAAACCAUUUGAAGCAAAAAACUGCACUGAAUCAAGUGUCACUAUAUGUAUUUUGUCAACUUGAAAUCAAUGUGCUACAUGGAUUUUAGUUCAUAACCUGAUUUGCUUCAGAAGCUGGACCAAAAUAGACUGUCUCUCCAGAAGAAAGAAGACAGAGGUAAUCAAAAAGUUCAACAACUUCACUACUCGGCUGAUGGAUGGAUGCAACAAUUGUUCUUUGAAUACCAUCCCUUAGACUUAAACUUGCAAUUCUACUCAUAACAUAGUAGGAAGCUGCACUAUCAAGUCCACUAGUUGGUUCAUCAAGAAAAAGAAGUCUAGGACGUGUUAGAAUCUCAAUGCAAAUACUUAGUCUCCUCUUUUGUCCUCCACUUAGGCCCUUAGAACCAUACCCUCCAACCCUUGUGUUAAUAGCAUCUUGCAGGCCCAUUUCUCUAAGUGUGAUAUCUGCUUGUCUCUUCUUCUCUGCUAUGGACAUUGAGUUUGGAAAUUGAAGUUGAGCUGAGUAGUAUAAAGUUUCACCAGCUGUUAAAGCUGACAGCAUAGCAUCAUCUUGUGUUACAUAACCCUGAAUUUUCAUGGUGGGAAAAAGGUUAGUACUCAGGAUUUCUAAAAUAAUUAGUUUUCUCUACCAAUAGAUUGUUGCUUUUUUUAGGACUGAUGUAGUACUCAGGAUUUUUGUCUUACUGAUGUUCCAUAAGCCAGUGUUUGUGUUUUUCCAUUGAUUAAAAUCUUCCCCGAUUGUUGUAUGUCUGAUCUCAAUCUUCCUGCAAUAUUGAUUGAAUCAUAUUAUAAUUGUCUAAUAAAUAGCUUCCAAUCACAA